UGGGGGGAAUUGUUUUAUAUGGGAUAGGUCCAGUUAUUGUUUUUCUGUCUCCAGGGCUUCACUCUGGGCCAACUUUUUAAAAUAUUUAUAGAAAGAAAGAUAGACAGAAAGAAGGAAAGAGACAACACUGAAGCUUCUCCCCAGGACAGUGGGGGCAGGACUUGAACCUGGGUCGAGUGCCUGACAAGAUCUCAACCUCCCUGGGACAAAAAGAGAAGCAAAGGGGAGGAAGGAAGGACUGCUGUUUCUGGGUUCAUGACGACGACGGCAACGAUGAUGGUGACAGUGGUGAGAAGAUGGAGCUGAAGGAGUCAUAUCAAGUGAGAUCAGCCAGACAGAGAAGGAUGAAUGUGGGAUGAUCUCACUCAUGGACAGAAGUUGAGAAAUAAGAGCAGAAGAGGACACACAAAGCAGGACUCGGCCUGGGGUUGGUGUAUGGCCCCAAAGCAAAGGACUGGGGGGCUGGGCGGCUCUCAGGUCCUGGUGGAGGAGGACCUAGGUGGGGGGUUAGAGUGUUUUGCAGAAAACUGAGAAAUGUGACACAUGGACCAACAACUGUGUUUACUAUUGACUGUCAACCAUUAAUCCUCACCAUAAAAAAAUAAAAAAUAAAAGCAGCUCUCUGGCUGGUAGGUAAUUCAAGGAGCUGGGCAUGGGCUUCCUGACUACCCUGGUCUUAGGAAGCCCCUGCCCGAGGGUGCUGUGCACUGCAAUUGACUUCAAAACACAACAGGUGGGCAGGAGAGGUGCAUAAUGGUUGUGUAAGAGAUUUUCAUGCCUGAGGCUCUGCGGUUCUAUCCUGAGCACCACCAUAAGCCAGAGCUGGGCAGUGCUUUGGUCU